GAAAAAAAAAAAAAAGAAAUGUUUUUGUGUUUCUUCGUUUUACUUAGAUUGUUAUUAUCACACUAUGAAAAGAAGACUUUAUAUUUAUUCUUCUGAAUCUGUGCUUUUUUUUCCUCACUGAAAUGUUUUCUUUCUUGAUGGUGUGAACUGGUGGCAGCUGCAGGCCUCCACCACGUGCCCCGCUGCACAUGAGAUGCUAAUUAGCCGACGAGCUAAUCUUUCACAUUUUUUUAAAAUUCGGUGGCUUCAGUUACAUUAAUGUCCCAUGACUUGUGAUGAAAAAAAUGUUGGUAGGGACAUCUGAGUAAAUGUGAAGAAACGCCAACUUUUCUGACUGCAUGGGACAGCAGCUUUAAGUUACUGUAGUCCAGCUUCAACUUAGCUGCACAGCUAAUGUGCUAUUCAGCUCAUGGGUUUCGUGUUUUUGACAGGUUUUGUUGUAUUUCGGAGCUUGUCUAAACUGCAGAACAUCUUGGAUUAGACGGACUAAUAAGUUUUAAGUUUUGUCUUUGCAGGCCUGUCGACAGGAUCUCUGUAAAAAUGGAGGUGGAUGUUGGAUGGAUCAAGAUGAUGGCUAAAAGUUUUCAGCGGCAAAUAUUACACCGGCAUUGUGAAGGUCAAGAGACUUGAAGCAGUUGGAGGAGUUGAAGAUGCACUUGGUGGUUCUGGUGGUGGUUUACCAGGGUGGUUCCCUCUGAAGUGGAGCAGGUGGUGCUCACGCUCCUGAAUUGGUCACAGGCA